UACGGAGGGAGCUAGCGUUGUCCGGAUUUAUUGGGCGUAAAGAGCGUGUAGGCGGCUUGGUAGGUCCGCUGUGAAAACUCGAGGCUCAACCUCGAGAUGUCGGCGGAAACCACUUGGCUAGAGUCCGGGAGGGGCGAGUGGAAUUCCUGGUGUAGCGGUGAAAUGCGCAGAUAUCAGGAGGAACACCAAUGGCGAAGGCAGCUCGCUGGAACGGUACUGACGCUGAGGCGCGAAAGCGUGGGGAGCGAACAGG
rnacentral:rRNA from 1 species